UAGAAAUUUACAUUAUAUUGACAAAUGAGCUGAAUAAGUACAAUACCUUGAACAUUACCUUAGAAACAUACAAAAUGUCUUAACAAAUUAAUCUUAAACUUGUGUCAAUAUACAAUAUUUGUAUACUGAAAGGGUUAAAAAUCAGCAACUUUUUCAGCAUAGAGCAACUCCACCUUGACCUCCAAGUUACCCAGUUCCACCAUGUUCCAAGGAAUUUAGAAAAAAACACUUUUGGGAAAAGUGAAAAGGUCACAAUGUGACCCCCAAACCAAAGAAUGUUCCCUCCUCAUGACAACCAACAAAAAUAUGAAUUCCCCGAGCCCCCACGUCAAUGAAUCCAAAGGUCAUCUACUCUUAUCCAAUCCUGAACAGCCAAGGCUGUACCACCCUUCUUGCGUUUUUUUCCCUUUAAAAGCCCCUUGCAAUUGAGGCUGGGCAACCUUUUGCUGCAACUGCUGUGCCAGUGUGCUCAACACGUCCCUGCCGAGGCUUGUAACUUAACAUUAAAGCUUAUUCAUUUGCAUCAGUGAGUCAGCUGUUUGGUGGUGUUUUUGGGUUCUCACGAACUUGGCAUAACAUACGGCGUCUUGCCUGGGAUUCCCAAGAACCCCAAGGACCUCGGACCCUGAAGGUUUAAUUCCCCACCGGUCGAAAACACUGGCAGCCAAGGACACUCUAUGCCAAGCAGCGAUGCUCACCCGCCCUUCCCUCCCAAGGCCAAACUAUUCUUCACCGUGGUAACAGCCAAGGUCUCCUCUGCUGGCCAGCAACUCCCCACCUUAACUCUUCUCUGCCCUGAUUCUGCUUAGAAAACAAAAAUGUUAAAUCAUGCCAGACUGUAUACUGUGGGAAGCUUUGACUUUAGAAUAGAAGUCAAAGAUACAUUAUGUUUGGAAAAAAUUAUGCUUUUGUUUCCACAAGAAAAGAAAAAUAUAUGGACUUUAGUCAUUUAA